CCUGACUAUCUGUGAACGGGCCUGAGUGCUGCAGUCGGAAACCGCGCUGUAUAAAUGGGACAGCGUGGAGUCAGUCAGUGAGUACUGAACCGUGAGUAGCCUGUGACCUCGAUCAUCAGACGAACGGCGCAACUCACUCAAGCUGACCAACAUGCAGUGGGAUACCUUCACCCUCAUCUGGGGCACCUUGCUGCUCUCUCUACCGUAUGACGCGGCGGCUAGAGCCGAUAGAGAUAUCUGCUCACUGCCAGAAGACGAAGGGCCGUGUAAAGCCAUAAACCAUCGCUAUUAUUACAAUGUUGCAACUGGGAAGUGCGAGAAGUUCAAUUACGGUGGCUGCAUGGGGAACGACAAUAACUUUUUAUCAGAGACUGACUGCACAAACCGUUGUGGAAGAACCAUUAAUAAGAAAGACAUCUGCUUACAGUCAGCAGAAGUUGGACCCUGUAAAGCCUAUUUGCCUCGCUAUUUCUACAAGGUUGAAAGUCAGAAGUGUGAGGAGUUUAUUUACGGUGGCUGCAUGGGGAAUGAAAAUAACUUUGUAUCAGAGAAAGAGUGCACAGCACGUUGUGGAAGAACCAUUAACAAGUGCCACUUGCCACCAGAAAUCGGAAUAUGUCGUGGCUUCUUUAGAAGAUAUUUCUACAACUUCUCAACAGGAACAUGUGAGCAGUUCGUGUAUGGCGGAUGCCAUGGCAAUGCUAAUAAUUUCAUGGACAUAACUUCUUGCCUGAUGGAGUGCAAUCUGAACUCAUUACUGCCCUUGUUCUGCAUUAAACACACAGACAGAGGAACCUGCGGAGCUGAUAUCCCACGGUUUUACUACAACCGAGAUACCAAUAGUUGUGAGAAAUUCAGCUACACAGGUUGUGGUGGGAACGAUAAUAACUUCUUUACUCUUAAAGAUUGCCAGAAGAUUUGUAGACCACGCAUUGCUAAGUGAUUAACCAAUGUUGCUAAGUAACAACUAAAUUAACAACUAAAGUAACAACUAAACAACCCUCACAGACUGGUGCCAGGAAAGUACCAAAGAAGAAAUCCUCUACUGUACGCAAAUAUAAAUUCUUAGUGUUGAAGAACAAGAAAGUGCCUGUGCUUUAAAAAUCUGAGGAUGAAUUAAGUAUUAUCACCCUAUGCCUAUCAACCUUAUUAUUGUUCCAGUUUAAGCGUUUUCUAUGUUUUUUUAAUUGAAAAAUACAGUUGCCCCCAAAUGUUCAAAACAUAUAAACCAGGAUUAUAUUCAACAUCUGUAUUUCCCAGAGCAUUCCAAAAUUAGAGAUUCUUCCAAAUUAUUCUUUUGAUGGUCUUAUACAUAUGUCAUUAAAGUUGCUUAUGAAAUUUCCCCACAAAACAGGAAAUUAAAGGAAGCUUAUGAAUAAUUUACCUGUGGAAAUAUUUGUCGGACCAAAUUGUCGCUGUGGGGAAAUUUAUUAAAUAAUCAAAAUUACACCUAUUUAAAAUGGAAACAUUCAAAAGUAGAUCAUUUGCUCAAUUUUCAUACAAAACGUGCACACUUUUAUCCUCAGAUAAUGUCUUAGGCACACAAACAUUUCCUGAUAUCACUUUAUGAUGUCCUCACUAUUCAUUUCAGUGAUCUAUUUGAGUUUAUAGCAUUAAAAACCACCUACGUUCUUUAUUGCACUAACAUUUGGGCAUUGACAAGUUAAUUUCUAUAUGCAAUGUAAUUGUAUUUCAAACAUUCUUUGCCCUAUUCCUGACAGCUGACGGUGAUGUGACGGAGACAACACAGAUAUGACCCGAGUUAAAUAGAGUGGGAUGUAAGCUCUGUUUCAAAAUGAAACAUGGCAAAUCAUUGAUAUUUUUGUCAGGUAAUUUUAUACAAUUGCUUUGAAUUGUUAGAUUCAGUUGAAAUGCUUUAUAUAAUUUUUAUAUUCUUCUAAAUGCAAAGUGAAAACACUAAUUGAAUAGUGUAUAAUCAUUCCUAUAAUUUAGGAAAUAUGAAUGUUUCAUAAACUUCAAAGGCUUUUGCUUAGUGGAAUAAAUCCUGCAUUUUAUUUUCUACAGUUGACUCAAUAUAUGUUUGUGUCUUUUUAAAGUAUUAUGCUAAUCCCAGAAUAAAAUGGAAGCAUGAAAUGCAAUCCUUGUUGUAAAUCUGCAUGUUAUUGUAUUUUGGGAUCUCUUCUGCACAAAUAUAUAAAAGCUCUACACUCUCA